AAUGAACGCUGGUGGCAUGCUUUAUACAUGCAAGUCGAGCGAAGACUAGAUUUGUAGUAGAGAUGAUUGAUUUUCACUUGUGGAGAUUAUGAUUUUUUGCUAUUCCUGGUCUUAGCGGCGAACGGGUGAGUAACGCGUGAAUAAUCUGCCCUUGAAAUCGGGAUACCAUUCCGAAAGGAAUGCUAAUACCGAAUAAUGUUAUGAAACAUAUGUUUCAUAACCAAAGUUGAAUCUUUGGAUUCUUCGUUCAAGGAUGAGUUCGCGUCCUAUUAGCUAGUUGGUGAGGUAAAGGCUUACCAAGGCUAUGAUGGGUAGCCGGCCUGAGAGGGCGUACGGCCACAUUGGGACUGAGACACGGCCCAGACUCCUACGGGAGGCAGCAGUAGGGAAUCUUCCGCAAUGGGCGAAAGCCUGACGGAGCGAUGCCACGUGGAUGACGGAGGCCUUCGGGUCGUAAAAUCCUGUCAGGGGGGACGAUGGUCAAUCUUCGGAUUGAUUGACGGUACCUUCAGAGGAAGCUCCGGCCAACUACGUGCCAGCAGCCGCGGUAAUACGUAGGGAGCAAGCGUUGUUCGGAUUUACUGGGCGUAAGAGUGCGUAGUGGCUAUACAAGUCAAGGGUGAAAUCUCUACUUUCAAGGUAGAACUGCCUUUGAUACUGUAUGGCUAGAGGACAGAGGGGAAAUGGAACUCUGGGAGUAGCGGUGGAAUGCGUAGAUAUCCAGAGGAACGCCAGUAGCGAAGGCGGUUUCCUGGCUUGUUUCUGACACUGAGGCACCAAAGCUAGGGGAGCGAUCGGGAUUAGAGACCCCGGUAGUCCUAGCCCUAAACGAUGGGUACUAGGUGUGGGGGGAGCAUUACCCUCUGUGCCGAAGCUAACGCGUUAAGUAACCCGCCUGGGGAGUACGGUCGCAAGGCUGAAACUCAAAAGAAUUGACGGGGGGCUGAACAAGCAGUGGAGCACGUGGUUUAAUUCGACGCAAAGCGAAGAACCUUACCAGGACUUGACAUGCUAGUAGUAGUGAUCCGAAAGGUGAGCCAUCCGAGCUUCGGUUUGGAAGCUAGCACAGGUGGUGCAUGGUUGUCGUCAGCUCGUGCCGUGAGGUGUCGGGUUAAGUCCUUUAACGAGCGCAACCCUUGUCCUUAGUUGCCAGCGGUUCGGCCGGGCACUCUAGGGAGACCGCCGCCUAAAAGCGGAGGAAGGUGGGGAUGACGUCAAAUCAUCACGCCCCUUAUGUCCUGGGCUACACACGUGCUACAAUGGUUUGUACAAAGGGUAGCGAAAGAGCGAUCUUAAGCCAAUCCCAAAAAGCAGGCCUCAGUUCGGAUUGGAGGCUGUAACUCGCCUCCAUGAAGUAGGAAUCGCUAGUAAUCGCGGAUCAGCAUGCCGCGGUGAAUACGUUCCCGGGCCUUGUACACACCGCCCGUCACACCACGAAAGUUGGCGAUACCUGAAGUUACUAGGCUAACCCCGUAAGGGGAGGCAGGUACCGAAGGUAUGGCUGGCGAUUGGGGUG
rnacentral:rRNA from 1 species